AAGACUUUACUUCAUAGGAUCAUUUCUGUAGUAAGCUCUUCACGAGAUCAACACACUACGUGUUGAUCGUACGCGAUGAGGAGCAAGGCGUGUCGUCUUGAGCGUGAGGCGGACGACGGCUUCGGCCGUCGAUCUUCGAUGAUCGUUCACUCCUCUCCUUCGGGAGGGGGGCGAGGGGCGUUGUCGCUGACUAAGCGGC